rnacentral:rRNA from 1 species
GACGAACGCUGGCGGCGUGCUUAACACAUGCAAGUCGAACGGAGUGGCGAACGGGUGAGUAACACGUGGGUGACCUGCACUGCACUUCGGGAUAAGCCUGGGAAACUGGGUCUAAUAACGAAGAGUGUGGGAUGGGCCCGCGGCAUAUCAGCUUGUUGGUGGGGUAAGUGCCUACCAAGGCGGCGACGGGUAGCAGUCCUGAGAGGGUGGACGGCCACGUUGGGACUGAGACACGGCCCGGACUCCUACGGGAGGCAGCAGUGGUGAAUAGUGCACAAUGGGCGGAAGCCAGAUGCAGCGACGCCGCGUGGGGGAUGACUGCCUUCGGGUUGUAAACUCCUUUCACCAUCGACGCGGUAGAUGGAGAAGAAGCACCGGCUAACUACGUGCCAGCAGCCGCGGUAAUAC